GAUAGCUCAGUUGGUUAGGGCAAGGUGCUGAUAAUGCCAAGGUUGUAGGUUUGAUUCCCAUAUGGGAUGGUUGCA